rnacentral:rRNA from 1 species
GACGAACGCUGGCGGCGUGCUUAACACAUGCAAGUCGAACGGAAAGGCCCUGCUUUUGUGGGGUGCUCGAGUGGUGAACGGGUGAGUAACACGUGAGUAACCUGCCCUUGACUUUGGGAUAACUUCAGGAAACUGGGGCUAAUACCGGAUAGGAGCUCCUGCUGCAAGGUGGGGGUUGGAAAGUUUCGGCGGUUGGGGAUGGACUCGCGGCUUAUCAGCUUGUUGGUGGGGUAGUGGCUUACCAAGGCUUUGACGGGUAGCCGGCCUGAGAGGGUGACCGGCCACAUUGGGACUGAGAUACGGCCCAGACUCCUACGGGAGGCAGCAGUGGGGAAUAUUGCACAAUGGGCGGAAGCCUGAUGCAGCAACGCCGCGUGCGGGAUGACGGCCUUCGGGUUGUAAACCGCUUUCGCCUGUGACGAAGCGUGAGUGACGGUAAUGGGUAAAGAAGCACCGGCUAACUACGUG